rnacentral:rRNA from 1 species
AGAGUUUGAUCCUGGCUCAGGAUGAACGCUAGCGGCAGGCUUAACACAUGCAAGUCGAAGGGCAGCGAGGGGAGUGCUUGCACUCCCUGUCGGCGACUGGCGCACGGGUGAGUAACACGUAUGCAACCUGCCCUCCACAGGGGGACAACCUUCCGAAAGGGAGGCUAAUCCCGCGUAAAUCUCCUGGAGGCAUCUCCGAGGGAGGAAAACUCCGGUGGUGGAGGAUGGGCAUGCGGCGCAUUAGGCAGUCGGCGGGGUAACGGCCCACCGAACCGACGAUGCGUAGGGGUUCUGAGAGGAAGGUCCCCCACACUGGUACUGAGACACGGACCAGACUCCUACGGGAGGCAGCAGUGAGGAAUAUUGGUCAAUGGACGCGAGUCUGAACCAGCCAAGUCGCGUGAGGGAAUAAGGCCCUACGGGUCGUAAACCUCUUUUGCCAGGGAGCAAUGCCGUCCACGUGUGGACGGAAGGAGAGUACCUGGAGAAAAAGCAUCGGCUAACUCCGUGCCAGCAGCCGCGGUAAUACGGAGGAUGCGAGCGUUAUCCGGAUUUAUUGGGUUUAAAGGGUGCGUAGGCGGCCUGCCAAGUCAGCGGUAAAAUUGCGGGGCUCAACCCCGUACAGCCGUUGAAACUGCCGGGCUCGAGUGGGCGAGAAGUAUGCGGAAUGCGUGGUGUAGCGGUGAAAUGCAUAGAUAUCACGCAGAACCCCGAUUGCGAAGGCAGCAUACCGGCGCCCGACUGACGCUGAGGCACGAAAGUGCGGGGAUCAAACAGGAUUAGAUACCCUGGUAGUCCGCACAGUAAACGAUGAAUGCUAGCUGUCCGGGGGGAUUGACCCCUGGGUGGCACAGCGAAAGCGUUAAGCAUUCCACCUGGGGAGUACGCCGGCAACGGUGAAACUCAAAGGAAUUGACGGGGGCCCGCACAAGCGGAGGAACAUGUGGUUUAAUUCGAUGAUACGCGAGGAACCUUACCCGGGCUCAAACGCCGAAGGGACAUUCCCCGAAAGGGGAUUGGCCAGCAAUGGUCUUCGGCGAGGUGCUGCAUGGUUGUCGUCAGCUCGUGCCGUGAGGUGUCGGCUUAAGUGCCAUAACGAGCGCAACCCCCACCGACAGUUGCUAACUGGUCAAGCAGAGGACUCUGUCGGGACUGCCGGCGCAAGCUGCGAGGAAGGCGGGGAUGACGUCAAAUCAGCACGGCCCUUACGUCCGGGGCGACACACGUGUUACAAUGGCAGGUACAGCGGGAUGCCAUGGGGCGACCCAGAGCGGAACCCGAAAACCUGUCUCAGUUCGGAUUGGAGUCUGCAACCCGACUCCAUGAAGCUGGAUUCGCUAGUAAUCGCGCAUCAGCCACGGCGCGGUGAAUACGUUCCCGGGCCUUGCACUCACCGCCCGUCA